UUACGGCCGUAUCACGUUGAAACACCGCUUCCCGUACGAUCACCGAGGUUAAACAACGUCGAGCCUGGUCAGUAUCUAGAUGGGUGACCACAUGGGAAUAUCGGGUGCUGUAA